AUUGAACGCUGGCGGAAUGCUUUACACAUGCAAGUCGAACGGUAGAGGGGGCAACCCCUCGAGAGUGGCGAACGGGUGAGUAAUAUAUCGGAACGUGCCCAGUCGUGGGGGAUAACGUAGCGAAAGUUACGCUAAUACCGCAUACGAUCUAAGGGUGAAAGCGGGGGAUCGCAAGACCUCGCGCGAUUGGAGCGGCCGAUAUCAGAUUAGGUAGUUGGUGGGGUAAAGGCUCACCAAGCCAACGAUCUGUAGCUGGUCUGAGAGGACGACCAGCAACACUGGAACUGAGACACGGUCCAGACUCCUACGGGAGGCAGCGGUGGGGAAUUUUGGACGAUGGACGCAAGUCUGAUCCAGCCAUUCCGCGUGCAGGAUGAAGGCCCUCGGGUUGUAAACUGCUUUUGUACGGAACGAAAAGGUCUCUCUUAAUACGGGGGACUCAUGACGGUACCGUAAGAAUAAGCACCGGCUAACUACGUGCCAGCAGCCGCGGUAA
rnacentral:rRNA from 1 species